UAGUCCACGCCGUAAACGAUGAUCACUGGAUGUCAGCUUUGCUUUGCAAGGUUGGUAUCGAAGCUAACGCGUUAAGUGAUCCACCUGGGAACUACGAUCGCAAGAUUAAAACUCAAAGGAAUUGACGGGGGUCCGCACAAGCGGUGGAACAUGUGGUUUAAUUCGACACUACGCGAGGAACCUUACCUGGGCUUGACAUGCUCUUGCCCGCUAUGGAAACAUAGCUUUUUAAACUUCGGUUUAAACAGGAGUGCAGGUGCUGCAUGGCUGUCGUCAGCUCGUGUCGUGAGAUGUUCGGUUAAGUCCGGCAACGAGCGCAACCCACAUUCUUAGUUGCCAGCAGUUCGGCUGGGCACUCUAAGAAAACUGCCCGUGAUAAGCGGGGAGGAAGGUGUGGGAUGACGUCAAGUCCUCAUGGGCCCUUACGGGGUUGGGGCUACACACGUGCUACAAUGGCAGUGACAAUGGGGUUAAU
rnacentral:rRNA from 1 species